GGCCGGAUAGCUUAGUGGGUCAAAGCUUUUCCGAUUAAUGGAAACGAGCCAGGUUCGACUCCUGGUCCAGCCG
rnacentral:tRNA from 1 species